GAUGAACGCUGGCGGCGUGCUUAACACAUGCAAGUCGAACGAUGAUCCGGUGCUUGCAUCGGGGAUUAGUGGCGAACGGGUGAGUAACACGUGAGUAACCUGCCCUUAACUCUGGGAUAAGCCUGGGAAACUGGGUCUAAUACCGGAUAUGACUCCUCAUCGCAUGGUGGGGGGUGGAAAGCUUUUGUGGUUUUGGAUGGACUCGCGGCCUAUCAGCUCGUUGGUGAGGUAAUGGCUCACCAAGGCGACGACGGGUAGCCGGCCUGAGAGGGUGACGGGCCACACUGGGACUGAGACACGGCCCAGACUCCUACGGGAGGCAGCAGUGGGGAAUAUUGCACAAUGGGCGGAAGCCCGAUGCAGCGACGCCGCGUGAGGGAUGACGGCCUUCGGGUUGUAAACCUCUUUCAGUAGGGAAGAAGCGAAAGUGACGGUACCUGCAGAAGAAGCGCCGGCUAACUACGUGCCAGCAGCCGCCGUAA
rnacentral:rRNA from 1 species